rnacentral:rRNA from 1 species
UACGUAGGUGGCAAGCGUUGUCCGGAUUUAUUGGGUUUAAAGGGUGCGUAGGCGGUUCUGUAAGUCAGUGGUGAAAUACUCCAGCUUAACUGGAGGGGUGCCAAUGAUACUGCAGAACUUGAGUACAGAUGAGGUAGGCGGAAUUGACGGUGUAGCGGUGAAAUGCAUAGAUAUCGUCAAGAACACCUAUAGCGAAGGCAGCUUACUGGGCUGUAACUGACGCUGAGGCACGAAAGCGUGGGGAGCAAACAGG